rnacentral:tRNA from 1 species
GCUGGGGAUGUGGCUCAGUGGUAGAGGACUUUCCUGGCAUGCUGGAGACCCUGGAUUCAACCCCCAGCACAGCA